CUCUCUAGCACCUGAAUUCUCUCUGCUGUAUGAUGCCUAAAUGACUGUCAGGAACAGAUCGGAGAGAUGGUUGACGCAAGGAAGCAAAGGCGUCCGUACUGCUUGAUCUCUACAGAACUGUUCUCAUCCAGUAAAACAAAAGCAAAAAAGAGCCAAGACCCUGACCGUGAGAGGAAGCCUGUCUAAAGCAACAAGCUCAAGAAACAGGACAGCCUGGAACUGCCUCUCACAACCCCCAUAAACGGAACAUCUCUCGGCUUCCACAGCAGCGUAGCGAAAUAAGAGACAGGUGCAGGCUUUUUCUCAGUAUGUACGGACCUGCACAGUUUGGACCUAGAAGUUCCGUGGACUCCUUUCUUCAUGUAGAGACUGGAGCAGAGGCAGGCGAUAGACUCGGUCUUGAGAAACUGAACCUGAUCUCUCUGGUGAUAAACUAAAGUCAUUUGGCCACAUGGGCUACCCUGGGCUCUCUAGCCUGAGGAGGGACGAGAAGGAACAUCUGGAGGAUGGCAGAGACGGCAUCAGUGAGGCUGACAGAGAUGCUACCCAGAUGGCCACCACUAUGCAUACAUGAACACGUUGUAGAAGUGAGUUCUACAAUGAAUUUUAAAUGAAUUUAGUGAGAACUUCAAAUAAUUGUUCCUCCCUAUACCCCUUCCCCCUCAAAUUUCCUAUAAGGUGCUACCAAAUAUAAGGAAAUUCAAUAAGGUGGAUACAGUGUGAGUGUGUGCACAUAUGUGUGUUUGGGUGUUCAUGCAUGUGUGUGUUUGGGUGCUCAUGCAUGUGUGUGUUUGGGUGCUCAUGCAUGUGUGUGUUUGGGUGCUCAUGCCUGUGUGUGUUUGGGUGUUCAUGCAUGUGUGUGUUUGGGUACUCAUGCCUGUGUGUGUUUGAGUGCACAUGUAUGUGUAUGGGUGUAGAGGCUAGAUGGCAACCUGUGUAUUAUUCUUCAGGAGCUCUCUACCCUUUUAUUUAUUUGUUUAUUUGAUGGGGUUGCUCAUCCUGGAGCCCCACUGACCAGGGUAGCUUGGCCAGCCAGCACAUCCACAGACCCAGCUUUCCCUUCUCCGUGGGAUUAUGAGUGCACACCACCAGUUCCUGCUGCCGUGGGAUUAUGCGUGCACACCACAGGCGUUUUCAGGUUCUAAGGAUCAAACUCAGGUCCUUACACAUGCAGGGCAAAUGCUUUACCGCAGAGCCACGCCCAAGCCCGGUGCCUGUGUGUUUCCAGUGUGUCUUCCCAUGGACAGCACGGGUUGACUGUACCUAGGGAAGACAAGGGACAGGCACACUCAUCUCGCCUUCCUCUUCCUCCCAACUUUGGUGCCUGGGUUAGUCUAACUUUGUCAGCAUUUCAUCGUCGAAUCUCAAGCCACUAUUCUCCUGGUGUCUAAUGGCCUCCUGGGUAGAGACCACAUUCUCACCAGGCAUCAGAGGAACAGGACUUUUUAUUUUGACUCAUCCUUGAGAUCACAGGGCUCCACCACCAAGUCCAUUUUCCAGGAGAACUCUUAGAUGUAAGUCUUUUUAUGCCUGGAAAUACAAUCUCUAGUCUUUGAAUUCUCGGUCCCGUUCAGCUGUAUGGGGUCCACUUGGAUGGCACUUUUUCCUCCUAGACGUUUUGCCUCUGUUAUGGCACUGGCUGCUGCUGGAAGAGAUCUGAAGCUGCCUUAUUCUUCUUCCUGUGGGCUUUUUGUCUUGAGUAUGAAAGGUAUGUGUGUAUAUAGUUCUAAGCUUAAUGGAUCAGCCAGACUGUCUGCUUCUGUAGA